GACGAACGCUGGCGGCGUGCUUAACACAUGCAAGUCGAACGAUGAACUUGGAGCUUGCUCCUGCUGGAUUAGUGGCGAACGGGUGAGUAACACGUGAGCAAUCUGCCCCGAACUCUGGGAUAAGCGUUGGAAACGACGUCUAAUACCGGAUACGACGCGCGAAGGCAUCUUCUGCGCGUGGAAAGAACUUCGGUUCGGGAUGAGCUCGCGGCCUAUCAGCUAGUUGGUGAGGUAACGGCCCACCAAGGCGACGACUGGUAGCCGGCCUGAGAGGGUGACCGGCCACACUGGGACUGAGACACGGCCCAGACUCCUACGGGAGGCAGCAGUGGGGAAUAUUGCACAAUGGGCGCAAGCCUGAUGCAGCAACGCCGCGUGAGGGACGACGGCCUUCGGGUUGUAAACCUCUUUUAGUAGGGAAGAAGCGAAAGUGACGGUACCUGCAGAAAAAGCACCGGCUAACUACGUGCCAGCCGCCGCAGUAACAC
rnacentral:rRNA from 1 species